GAUGAACGCUGGCGGCGUGCCUAAUACAUGCAAGUCGAGCGAACAGACGAGGAGCUUGCUUCUCUGACGUUAGCGGCGGACGGGUGAGUAACACGUGGAUAACCUACCUAUAAGACUGGGAUAACUUCGGGAAACCGGAGCUAAUACCGGAUAAUAUAUUGAACCGCAUGGUUCAAUAGUGAAAGACGGUUUUGCUGUCACUUAUAGAUGGAUCCGCGCCGCAUUAGCUAGUUGGUAAGGUAACGGCUUACCAAGGCAACGAUGCGUAGCCGACCUGAGAGGGUGAUCGGCCACACUGGAACUGAGACACGGUCCAGACUCCUACGGGAGGCAGCAGUAGGGAAUCUUCCGCAAAGGGCGAAAGCCUGACGGAGCAACGCCGCGUGAGUGAUGAAGGUCUUCGGAUCGUAAAACUCUGUUAUUAGGGAAGAACGAAUGUGUAAGUAACUAUGCACGUAUUGACGGUACCUAAUCAGAAAGCCACGGCUAACUACGUG
rnacentral:rRNA from 1 species